rnacentral:lncRNA from 1 species
GUCGAUUUAAAACCUCCUCUUUUCAGAAACUUGAACCGAACAAUUUUCUCGCUCCUCUAGUUUUUACGCAAUUUCCAUCUAUACCCUCGCGCAGAUCUGAGUGUCGCAACUAUUUAGUAUAGGCUUUCGUGACUGAAUGCUAGGCAGUUUAGCAUAGUCUCAUUUGUCCACUCGAAUUUUGUCCUGUGAGAUGUUAUUUUCUGUAGUUUUACUAUGCAUCGUUGGAUCGGUUAUUGGUAACUAUCCGCCCGUUCCCGAAGGAGUAACCUAUGAAGCGCCAUUUGUGGAUCUCCUCAACUGGGUUGAGACAAAAGACAAGUGUACACAGAUCCCAGUUGACGGGUGGCAAGGAAGAAGUGCGGAUAAUGUGGCGGAUGCGAUAAUCAAAGGGAACUUGGAGUGUGUGAGUAGGAACGGCCAGCUCCAGAUAGACGUCCCUGACUUUCGCCGCGAAAGAUGCAAUAAAGGGAAAGAUCCACGAUGCUGUGUGGUGGCAGAGGGAGAAAUCAAAAAGUCUCGAUGUUGCGUCUCGGUAGAACCUUCGUUACCGGUAGCGUUCGUGAAUAAGAGAUCACAGGUGAGCAUGUUCCUAGUGAAACUCGACCUCGCGCGGCACCAGGUCACCUCCUGUCACCUCCCGUCACCAACAGUGACCGCCUCCAAGGGAAGGGAUUCUCGAAACUAUUUCGACGGUGUAAAUCGGCUAUCAAAAAACUCGGUUUGCGACUUCGCAGACUUCCUGUUAUACUUUAUUUUUUAAACGGAAAACUACUCAACGGCAAUUCUUUAAACCUGCGGUGAUUUUUCUUUUCUGUGUGAAGAAAAUUCUGCAAAAACUUCAAGGAAUGAUGUCAAUUUGUUCUCCUUUUAAAAAAAUAACAUAGAGGCGGAGAUUUUCAGACACGGCAAACAAGUUAUGUGAUUGCCGACUUACACCGUCGACAUGCCUUUGGUUCGCUUCCCUCUCAGGGGCUCACGCAAAGUGACGGGUGGUCUGCCGCGAUAGCGAAGAGCAAAAA